CGUGAAACCGUUGAAAGGGAAGCGAAUGGAGUUAGCAAUUCGCCUUGUCAGACUCAGCCGCUCGCAAGAAGCGACGUGCGCGUUCUCGAUCCCUAUAGACGAGGCGCGUGUGGGUGCGACUUGUGGACGGCGCACUUCUGGCAGGCGAGCGUCAGCGUCGGUUGUGGACGGGCAAGAAGGUUGCGAGGAAGGUGGAUCGGCUUUACGGCCGGUUGUUAAGCCUCGUGCUCGUACGGCCCGACAACGACUGUGGCUCUUGGAGGCGACGCGUGCCUGGCUGGCGACUCACUCGAUCGGUCCGACAUGUCGACUGUGGCGGACGGCACGCCUGUGCGCUCGAACUGCUGCCGGUCGAUCGGAUGAUGUUCGCACACUACGCGUCGAAGAUGCUGACGACCAUACGGCUCCAUCCGACCCGUCUUGAAACACGGACCAAGGAGUCUAACAUGUGCGCGAGUCUCCGGGUGAUAGAAACCCGUGGGCACAAUGAAAGUAAAGAUCGUCCCAGACGAUUGAGGUGAGAAGCCGGUGCCACGCGCACAGGCUGCAUCAUCGACCGACCUAUUCUGCUCUCAGAAAGGUUUGAGUAAGAGCGUAUCUGUUGGGACCCGAAAGAUGGUGAACUAUGCCUGAAUAGGGUGAAGCCAGCGGAAACACUGGUGGAAGCUCGUAGCGAUUCUGACGUGCAAAUCGAUCGUCGAAUUUGGGUAUAGCGGCGAAAGACUAAUCGAACCAUCUAGUAGCUGGUUCCCUCCGAAGUUUCCCUCAGGAUAGC
rnacentral:rRNA from 1 species